rnacentral:lncRNA from 1 species
AGGGACCAUACGCACGAGCAGAGCAUCAGCUGUGGUGUGUCGGAGAGUGAGAAACUUCCCUCACUCCUCCUCUGCUUUCUUUCUCCCAAAUCCCCUUCGACACAUUUUAUGUAACUUCUCUCAGAAGCUGCAGCAGCUACCGGUGCCUCCAUCAACAGGCGGGUACUGGCUGGCUUUGUUUUAGUCCAACCUCUGGUCUAUCCGGACGCUCAGGAGGGUUUCCUGUCGGCUCGUCCAGGACACCGGGUGCAACUGGAGUGACUCCACCAAGUUUCUCCCCCAUUCUGCCUGAGGAAUGAGAGGACUGCCUGAGAGGAAGAGCCCAAACUCGCAUGUUUGAAUGAACAAAAGCACAGAAAGAAAGGAUAUUGCCGCCGAAAUGGAGGAAAAUACUCUACCAGCAGCAACAUCUCCCCUCUCAGAUCUCAACACAAACCCCGCCAGGCCUGACCCAGAGGGGGAGAGCAGCCCCCCGAAGAUGGACACCACCGAGACAAUGGAGUCUCCAGCGAAGAAAGACACAGACCGGAGACUGACUACACCCAUAAAAUCUGACGUCAUCCCUCGAUCACCCGGGUCACCUGCAUCUCCUGUCCCCAGGUUGAAAGGGGGUAAAGACAUCAUGAAGUCAGAGGACAGGCAGAAGCUUGCCAAGGAGCGGAGAGAGGAAAAGGCCAAAUAUCUUGGUAAGUAGAAACAAAGGGGCGGGAGGAGAAGCCCAUUACAUAUGAAGACAGCUCCCCCUAGUGGUGGGGUGGAAGUGGUUGUUGUUU